rnacentral:misc_RNA from 1 species
CAAUUAUUUCUAGCUUGAAAUACAUGAUGACUAUGAAAUUUUCUUUGGAAAAUGAGAGAGACACAACUACAAAGUGUUCAUCAACUAAACAAUGACCCAGAAAAGGAAAGUAAAGGGGAAAAAGAAAAGUGGAAGACCCAAAAAAGAGGAAAGUAGAAAAAGCAAGGAAAUGGCAAAAAGUCCCCAAAUUCAUAACAAAGAGAUUAAAUUAGUUACAUGCUCAUAGGACUUUGUGGAUCAUUAAGUGCUGCAAUUGCUGUUUCUAUUUUUAUCUUCAAAUGAUCUUUCUCUUCUUCAUCUGCCUCAAUGAAGACUGUCUUGAGAAGCCUCCCAGAAACAGUUGUAAUAUUGGCCGUAAUAAUCUUGAGCUUCAAAGAUUCAAAUACCUCACAAAGCUUCACCAUUGUAUCUGUUCUUUUACUGCAUGUCAAGCUCACUAGCAGUGUCUUCUCUCCCAUGUGUGCAACACUCAGCUCAAGGACUUCAAUUGGGCAGCUUCUAGAGCCAUUAGAGUCAUAGAAUUGAUCAAUUUUCUUCUUCUUGGACCUCAACAGAACAGGCAGCUCUUGCUCAAAGUCAUAACCAGGAUUCUUCUUCAAUUUUCCAGAUUCCAGUUCCAUUAUCUCUGCUUGGAUUCUUUUCUCUUGAUCAUGAAGUUCUUGAAUAUAAUCAAUUGCGUCUUUGAUGAUGGAAGCCUUGUCCAUCUUGCUAAUGUUGGGGACCAC